UGCUAAUAGCAGAUAUUGUGCAUUGGAAAGAGAAAAUAGGUAAAUGCCCAUUAAAAUGCAUACUGCAAUCCAAGGAUGAGAUGCACUAUAGCAGGAGCUUAACUUGCCUUUAUAAUAAAGACUGCUUUACAACUGAAUAGGAGUGAGUAUCCUUCCACAGGAAUAAAUACUUUCCUGAGUGUGUUGUUGAACCAUCAGUGUGCCGUCGGAUAAGCAACAGUAUGUGCACAUGCGUCAGCACCUCGAUUCACCACCAGGGCGUAGUGAGCGGCGCCCUCACCCCACUUGUGGGGGCUGCUCUCCUAGACCUGGUGCUGGGCAAACUUCUACAACACAACCCCGCCCCCUAUCUGAUGUGCUGUUAAUUAGUAAUUUCGACACGAUAUAUUUUAAAUUUUUAUUAUGAUUUUAAAUUUUUUUUGUGUGGAAAUUUUAUUUGCUCUACUAUAGUGUGGUUUUACUUUGUUAGUCUGGUGUACUCCUCUGAGUUAAACUUUGUCUCAGUGCUCUGAAGCCCCUUUCCCAUCGGCGUAUCGGAUAUUUUGCUGGCCUAAUCCCUGACUGGCAGACAGCUUACCAUUUCCCCCGCCUUCAGUCACGCCUCAAGCCUGUAAUAUCAUUUCUCUUCGUGACCCUAACUGCAUAGACAAGCCUGUAGCUUGCAGGCGACCAGUUCUCAGAGACGAGCUGAGAUUGGCCUUUUUCAUCACGUGUUAGUGUUAUGUUCGCUCCUCUGCAGCCACGACGGGACGUAGAUUCCCAGCAGCUUUGCAUUUUAACCUCACCCCCCCCCCCCCCCCCCCCUUCUCAGUUCCAAGUAAGACCAAUGACCGGUCGUAACCCCCCUGGUCAACCGUGAGCGUCCUCAAGGUCUCCUCGCAAAAAACGAGUGCGCCAAAACUGAUCGCAAGAGCUACCUAGCGACCAAGUCGCGAACUUCUCCGCUAGUCUACCCUCUAGGGCGCCAGAGAGCAGCACCUGCUUUCCCUUGAGUUAUAUGGACGCCGUGGGCGAGUCGAUUGUUUUCAACUCAGACCCCUCCGACAGAGUUCUCUACUGUCGCCCAGUGAUGCCAACUUCAAAACUCCUGCCAGAGUUUUUUUUUCCGCCCGCAUUCGGGCAAGUUCGGAAUCUUUCGGCGGCCCAGACCUCCCCUCCACCUGGGGCCUGUUUCAUAAAAUUACAAGUUUACAAGCUACAAGUUACAAGUUACAAGUCUAUAUUCUACAAGUCUAGUUGACAAGUGUUUCACGAACAAAAUGUUUCGACUUGUGAAUCCCAAUUGGUGUAUCGAUAGUUUUACAAGUCGACACACAGUUGUAAUAUAUUGCCAAAGCGAAAAUGAGCGCCAGAAAGCAAACUGGAAACAAAAUAAUGAUUCUGAACAAAAUAAAAUAACAAAAAAGUGUUUUCUUCGGGGCAUUCUCAGAUACACUGACGAAAGAGAACAAAAUGAUCACAUGGAAGGAAAUUCGGGACUUUGCAGCUUCGUUGGGAAUUAUCCCAGAAAGCAAAGACUGGGGUUAUGUUCGGGAUGUUGUUUGGCAAAAUGUCAAGAAAAGUACCAUGGUAAGAAUAUUCUAUUAUAUUAUUUUCUAUAUUUUACCUAACAGUUAUAAUAAUGAAGUCAUAACAAAUUUGUGUAUUUAAUUUUAGUACAAUUAGAUUAUUACUUGGCAGUUACCUAACCUAAAUUAAACUUGUGUUAUUCUCUUUUUCGGCAGAGUAAACUAGAUAAUACAAAGAAGACAGGUGCUACGGGGGGAAGCGGAGCGAAGCUGACAGACAUCGACAAUUUAGUUUUGGAUAUUGUUGGAAGAGACUCCCCUCUUGUCUGUAGCUUGGACGUUGCAGAAACUUGGGCAAGGGCCAGCACUGCCACUUCCCAGGUUUCUAAACCAAGCUCCAAUAAUGAAACAAGAAUGUUAGAAGAAGCUGUUGAUAUGGACGAACAUGAGAUGGCUGCAGAGGUCGUAGUGGUUAAAACAUCUGCUGAUGUAGCAAACAAAGCCUCCAAAAUGAAACAUUCAUCUGUAAAAAGCACAGAGGAAGAUGUAUUUUUAAGAGCAAAGAGGAAGCUGCAGCUGGAGUACAUGGAAGUCCAGAUUUACAAAACAAAGUUGGACAUUUUGUAUAGGGAGCACCAACUUAGUUUACCAAGAUCCAAAUUCACAGACGAUAUUCAACCAGUUGAAUCGUAUACAGCUGAUGAAAAUACUAUGGAUGAAUUGUUACUAGAAUGAACUUUUAAAUUAGGUACUACUGUAUUUUUUUAUUUUAUUUCUUGCAAUAAAUAAAUUGGAAUUAUAAAA